GCCCCCGUAGCUCAGUGGAUAGAGCAAUGGCCUCCGGAGCCAUGCGCGGGGGUUCGAUUCCCUCCGGGGGCG
rnacentral:tRNA from 1 species